rnacentral:rRNA from 1 species
AACGAACGCUGGCGGCAGGCUUAACACAUGCAAGUCGAGCGCCCCGCAAGGGGAGCGGCAGACGGGUGAGUAACGCGUGGGAAUCUACCCAUCUCUACGGAAUAACGCAUGGAAACGUGUGCUAAUACCGUAUACGUCCUUCGGGAGAAAGAUUUAUCGGAGAUGGAUGAGCCCGCGUUGGAUUAGCUAGUUGGUGGGGUAAAGGCCUACCAAGGCGACGAUCCAUAGCUGGUCUGAGAGGGUGAUCAGCCACACUGGGACUGAGACACGGCCCAGACUCCUACGGGAGGCAGCAGUGGGGAAUAUUGGACAAUGGGCGCGAGCCUGAUCCAGCCAUGCCGCGUGAGUGAUGAAGGCCCUAGGGUUGUAAAGCUCUUUCACCGGUGAAGAUAAUGACGGUAACCGGAGAAGAAGCCCCGGCCAACUUCGUGCCAGCCGCCGCAGUAAGAC